rnacentral:snRNA from 1 species
AUAAAAAUUAAAAAAAAAAUUGAAAUGAUGCAGAGAUUUAGCAUGGCCCUUGUGCAAAGAUGACAUGCGAAUUUGUGAAGCAUUCCAUGUUAAA